rnacentral:snoRNA from 15 species
UCGACUGUACUCGAACAGGAUCAUUUCUAUAGUGAAUCCGAAUGUACUGAGCUACAGAACUUGACAACACCUCUAUCCGUGAAGAUGAGUUAUCCAUCCCACCAUAAUGGGAAGUGUAGCACAUCCCUAGGUCCUCAUCUUUGAGUCUCAGGGAUGCGGUUUUGAUGACCUGGUGGACCUCUUUUCUUAGGGGGAGGGUCCUAAUGGUGUGGAUGAUUCUGAACGG